AUUGAACGCUGGCGGCAGGCUUAACACAUGCAAGUCGAGCGGGGGAAGGUAACUUGCUACCGGACCUAGCGGCGGACGGGUGAGUAAUGCUUAGGAAUCUGCCUAUUAGUGGGGGACAACAUCUCGAAAGGGAUGCUAAUACCGCAUACGUCCUACGGGAGAAAGCAGGGGAUCUUCGGACCUUGCGCUAAUAGAUGUGCCUAAGUCGGAUUAGCUAGUUGGUGGGGUAAAGGCCUACUAAGGCGACGAUCUGUAGCGGGUCUGAGAGGAUGAGCCGCCACACUGGGACUGAGACACGGCCCAGACUCCUACGGGAGGCAGCAGUGGGGAAUAUUGGACAAUGGGGUGGACCCUGAUCCAGCCAUGCCGCGUGUGUGAAGAAGGCCUUAUGGUUGUAAAGCACUUUAAGCGAGGAGGAGGCUACUCUAGUUAAUACCUAGGGAUAGUGGACGUUACUCGCAGAAUAAGCACCGGCUAACUCUGUGCCAGCAGCCGCAGUAA
rnacentral:rRNA from 1 species